GAAAGCCUUUGGCUUAACCAAAGAAGUGCAUCGGAAACUGUCAGACUUGAGUGCAGAAGAGGACAGUGGAACUCCAUGUGUAGCGGUGGAAUGCGUAGAUAUAUGGAAGAACACCAGUGGCGAAGGCGGCUGUCUGGUCUGCAACUGACGCUGAGGCUCGAAAGCAUGGGUAGCGAACAGGAUUAGAUACCCUGGUAGUCCAUGCCGUAAACGAUGAGUGCUAGGUGUUGGAGGGUUUCCGCCCUUCAGUGCCGCAGCUAACGCAUUAAGCACUCCGCCUGGGGAGUACGACCGCAAGGUUGAAACUCAAAGGAAUUGACGGGGGCCCGCACAAGCGGUGGAGCAUGUGGUUUAAUUCGAAGCUACGCGAAGAACCUUACCAGGUCUUGACAUCUUGCGCCAACCCUAGAGAUAGGGCGUUUCCUUCGGGAACGCAAUGACAGGUGGUGCAUGGUCGUCGUCAGCUCGUGUCGUGAGAUGUUGGGUUAAGUCCCCGCAACGAGCGCAACCCUUGUUACUAGUUGCCAGCA
rnacentral:rRNA from 2 species